UUCAUAACCCUUUGUUGUCCGACUCUGUUGCCUCCGGGGCGACCCUGCCUUCGGGCGGGGGCUCCGGGUGGACACUUCAAACUCUUGCGUAACUUUGCAGUCUGAGUAAACUUAAUUAAUAAAUUAAAACUUUUAACAACGGAUCUCUUGGUUCUGGCAUCGAUGAAGAACGCAGCGAAAUGCGAUAAGUAAUGUGAAUUGCAGAAUUCAGUGAAUCAUCGAAUCUUUGAACGCACAUUGCGCCCCCUGGUAUUCCGGGGGGCAUGCCUGUUCGAGCGUCAUUUCACCACUCAAGCCUCGCUUGGUAUUGGGCAACGCGGUCCGCCGCGUGCCUCAAAUCGUCCGGCUGGGUCUUCUGUCCCCUAAGCGUUGUGGAAACUAUUCGCUAAAGGGUGUUCGGGAGGCUACGCCGUAAAACAACCCCAUUUCUAAGGUUGACCUCGGAUCAGGUAGG
rnacentral:rRNA from 1 species